CAUGUUUUUGUGGUAACUUGAAAGCCGAGCAAUGUUUUCUCUUUUCCGUUUUCUCCUGCAGCCUUCCAGUGCUGGAAUGCCAGCUCCACCUGCAAAUGCAAUGUAAAUCAAAGCGUCUCACAGGGCAAAUGGACUCUGAUCCACCAACUGCAUUUGCUGAGAAUAAAAUCCAGAGCCGCCUCCCGCCCUUUCUCUUUCCACUUUCAUAAUUUCGUCCUAAUCAAGGAUCAAAGGGGAACUGCAACUUUCUUCUCAGAAGGGCUCCCGCAAUUGUACUUCUUUCUGUUGAUUUGGGGGCACUUUCUCUUAAUCGUGAACACGGGUUACUCUACAAGAAUAAACAGAGCUAUAUCAUGGAGUGUUGUCUUCAUCACUGUGCUCUGAAAAUUAUCAUUUCCCCCAUAUUAUGGUGAAGUUCAGGCCACAUUAAUGCUUUGUUGAUUCUGAUAAAUGAAAACUUGAUUAUAAGCUCAUCAUGUCAGCAUAUGUUGAGGCUAAUGUCACAAGCAUAGUGAUCCCAUGUUUCUGUUAUGCUUCUUUAGGCCACAGUCUCUUUUAGGCUUAAUAGAUAUGUUGAGUGACUUCCCCAAUGUAUCCUUGAAAUCCUUCAGAAAUGUUAAAACAUUACUCCCCUUGGUGAUCCUUCCACAUUGCUGCCAUGCCCUCUUUGAUCUCAGAGAUAUGCUUUGGAUGG